AGUGAUCUUUCCAGUGGAGUAACGACCUCGGUGGCGAUCGGAUAAGAUGUGGCUCUUUUGGCGGAACGGCUGUAGAUAAACACUUGUUAUAACAAAAAGCCACUCGAAACAUAGCAAUUUAUUGAUUAAUAAAGGAAGAGAAGGAAAAGCACAUAAAUAAAAAAUGAAAUAAAACAAAAACAAUGGCGGAAGCAACUUUUAUGGAAAUUUAAUUCUCCAGAUAAAAGGGUUGAAAGUGCUGAAGAGGCUUUGCAAAGAACAAAAAGUUUACUCUGUAUAAAUAUGAAAAAAUAAAAUAUGUUUUGUAUUA